GAUGAACGCUGGCGGCGUGCUUAACACAUGCAAGUCGAACGGAAAGGCCCUGCGUUUGUGGGGUGCCCGAGUGGCGAACGGGUGAGUAACACGUGAGUAACCUGCCCUUGACUUUGGGAGAACUUCAGGAAACUGGGGCUAAUAUCGGAUAGGAGCUCCUGCAGCAUGGUGGGGGUUGGAAAGUUUCGGCGUUUGGGGAUGGACUUGCGGCUUAGGAGCUUGUUGGUGGGGUAGUGGCUGUCCAAGGGGUCGACGGGUAGCCGGCCUGAGAGGGUGAUCGGCCACCUUGGAAGUGAGCCAGGGUCCUGACGACUAAGGGAGGGAGCAGUAUGGAAUGUUAGGCAAUAGUCGAAAGUCUUACACAGCGAGCGCGAGUGUGUGACGAAGGCCUUGCGUUCGUAAAGACGGCUUUCGGGUUGAGAACAGCUGUCGCCUGAGACGAAGCGUUAGUGACGGUAAUGAAUAAAGAAGCACCGGCUAACUACGUG
rnacentral:rRNA from 1 species